AUUGAACGCUGGCGGCAGGCCUAACACAUGCAAGUCGAACGGUAACAGGAAGAAGCUUGCUUCUUUGCUGACGAGUGGCGGACGGGUGAGUAAUGUCUGGGAAACUGCCUGAUGGAGGGGGAUAACUACUGGAAACGGUAGCUAAUACCGCAUAACGUCGCAAGACCAAAGAGGGGGACCUUCGGGCCUCUUGCCAUCGGAUGUGCCCAGAUGGGAUUAGCUAGUAGGUGGGGUAACGGCUCACCUAGGCGACGAUCCCUAGCUGGUCUGAGAGGAUGACCAGCCACACGGGAACUGAGACACGGUCCAGACUCCUACGGGAGGAAGCAGUGGGGAAUAUUGCACAAUGGGCGCAAGCAUGAUGCAGCAAUGCCGCGUGUAUGAAGAAGGCCUUCGGGUUGUAAAGUACUUUCAGCGGGGAGGAAGGGAGUAAAGUUAAUACCUUUACUCAUUGACGUUACCCGCAGAAGAAGCACCGGCUAACUCCGUG
rnacentral:rRNA from 1 species